GUUGAGCCUGUGAAGUUAAAAUUUUUCAUAUUUAAUUUUGUAUCAUAUCCAGGCUGAAUUGGUGGAAAAAGCCACUCAGGUAGCCUUGGAAGAGACUAUCAAAAAAUUAAAAUGUGACAAUGAAUUGUACACACAAAAACAGGUUGGUUUGGAAAUGAGAAUUGCACAGUUAGAGAGUGAGAAGAGUUCCUUGCUUCUAAAAGAGAUUGGAUUGGUGGAAGAAACCAAGUGAUUGCUGAGUGAAAAAGAAAUUUUGAGCCUUAAAGUGG